UCCAUCACGAGGGGCGGUGGCGCAGGCGCAGUGGCAACACGCCUGGCACUGUGUGGGUAGGUGCCAGGGAGGCUCUUCCUACCCGGUAUCUUGUUCUGGCACCCAGGAGCUGACUGAAGUCUUUGACCCUUUGACCCGCUGGCAUUGGGUGGACGUCCUCUCAGCGCCCACCUUAAUCAAUGGCGUCAUGGCCGCAGUGGCUGGGGCCGGGCACCCGACUUUUCUGGACGUCUCUCAGCAAAGAGGAAAGAUGGAAACCGCAUCGCGAAAAGGAAUCACCGAAGGCAAACUGGAGCUUCCUAACAAGUGUCACCUGAGAGAUCUUCCUGUAAUCCAGAUGGUGGAAAGACCACCUCCCAGUUGGACAGAGGAUGCCUGAGACUGGAUUCAUUGCUUUCAAAGUUCCUUUGCAAAAGGACAAUCAACUCUUUGAGCUUCUACAUACACAUGAGAACAUAUAGAAAUAUUUGCGCCUGUGUGAAAUGAAACCCUUUGGUUACCUGGCUACAGCAUACCAAUGUCCUGAUUUUUCUUCUAGUUCAGUGGCAUAUGGGAAUUCUGGAGGCUGUGGCAGACAAAAUGUCUGACUUGGAGGUUGCAAUCCCAAGGAAGCCUCCAUCCCUAGGGAAGGUUCUAUCCCUGCAAAGGAAUCAAGGACGAUGGGAGACAAGGCUAAAAUACAGUUUGGCUAACAAAAAACAUAUCUACUGGCUGGAAAGAAAGACUAUCUCCCAGUUGGACAGAGGAUGCUGGGGACUGGAUUCAUUGCUUUCAAAGUUCCUUUGCAAAAGAUAAGGAAGAUGAAGCCCAGGAAGGAGAUCUGGAAAGAUAAGUGAAAGGCAGAUCUUCCAUGUGGCCCAGACAGGACCAUGCACCUUCCUUGCCUGCAGUACAGCUCCAGUUUCUUUUACACAGUUUGCAUACACAAAACAGAGGUGGAUUCUUACUUUGGGGAUGAAAUCCUUUCUGGCAACAUGAAGAAAUCUCCUCUAGUCCAUGGUCAGUUAAUUUAAAGAAUCCAGUUCAAAAAUAAGAAAACACAGGUUCAGAGGCAAGCAAAGUUUUUGUUCCCCAGCCUAACAUACACACACGACCGAGCAUGCACUCUCACACACAGUAGAACAGAGGUCAUAAGCUUCUAUGAUAUGCUAGCUUCCAAGUCUCUUUUCUGGUAAUUGAAUCAUAAUUAGGGAAUGACUUAUCACUGCUACCACACUGGAUUUUCCUGGGAAAACUCAUGGUAAAUAACAGGUUUUGGAGUGAAAAGUACCACUCUGAUAUAAUGAGUUUGAUUUUGAACUUUUUUAUGUCUGGGUGGUGCCAGAGAUGGUACCCAGGGUCUCAUGCAUGCUAUGCAAGUACUAUACAACUGAGCUCCACCUGCUCAGCAUGAAUUUUAAAUUAUUUUUUUUUAAAGAUUUAUUUUUUAAUUGUAGUUGGACACAAUACCUUUAUUUUAUUUAUUUAUUUUUAUGUGGUUCUGAGGAUCGAACCCAGGGCUUUGCACAUGCUAGGCAAGUCUCUACCGCUGAGCCACAACCCUAGCCCUGAAUUUGAAAUUCUUUAAUACACUAUUGAACUCUUGGAAUGCCUCUCACACUUCAAGUCAAAACUCUUUUUUUUUUUUUUUUUUUUUU